ACCGAAAAGAUCAGAGCCGGCUCAAACUUUUUGAAGACCUUGUGCUGAUUUAUAAAAAUUGGCUUUAGUUAAUACUGUUUUUAAUUACAGAGACUAGAUUUUAACCCGCGGUAUACCGCGGAAACAAUUUAUUUUUUAAAUUAAUAUAUAUAAAAGUUUGUAAAUUGUAUCUAUUUAUAAAAUGUUUUUAUUGUAUAGUUUACAAUUUUUAUUAAGUAACGUCCUGCCAAACCCGUCUCGCCAACCCGUCCUCUAAAAAAGACUCAUUUAUUUUAUUAAUGUUGAUCUUAUUUAUGAUAUGUUUAUAAAUUAUUGUCUAAAUAUUUUGUAAUUUUGUAGUAAUUAAAUGCUAUCAAAUAUCUAUACGGUUUGAUGAUUAUAAUCAUGCAGAAAAAAUAUCAAAAAUGAUAAUUUUGUAGUAAUUAAAUGAUAUUAAAUAUUUUAGA
rnacentral:sRNA from 1 species